rnacentral:rRNA from 1 species
GCGAAGUAGCUGAUUUCACACUGUCAAGAAAAGUCUCUACGAGGUUAAAGGUACCCGUACCGCAAACCGACACAGGUGGGUGAGGAGAGUAUCCUAAGGCCAGCGAGAGAACUGUUGUUAAGGAACUCGGAAAAAUGACCCCGUAACUUAGGGAUAAGGGGUGCCACCAUCAGGUGGCCGCAGAGAAUAGGCCCAAGCGACUGUUUACCAAAAACAUAGGUUUCUGCUAAGUCGCAAGACGAUGUAUAGGAGCUGACG